AACGCACAUUGCGCCCGCCAGUAUUCUGGCGGGCAUGCCUGUUCGAGCGUCAUUUCAACCAUCAAGCCCCUGUGCUUGUGUUGGAGCCCUGCGGCUGCCGCAGACUCCCAAACCCAGUGGCGGGCUCGUCGUCGUACCGAGUGCAGUAAAUUUACCACGCUCAGGGCACGCGACGGGUGACCGGCCGUAAAACCCCCCCCUUUCUCAAGGUUGACCUCGGAUCAGGUAGGAAUACCCGCUGAACUUAA
rnacentral:misc_RNA from 1 species